GGACAGGUGGCUGAGCUGGUCUAAGGCGCACGAUUGGAAAUCGUGUAACGAUUAAACCCGUUCGAGGGUUCGAAUCCCUCCCUGUCCG
rnacentral:tRNA from 1 species